GGCUCUUUCUUUCCUUCCCUCACCAAGCUCCCUCAACCUUCUCUCUAUUUAUCGGCGUGUCUCUUUGCUCGUGUAUCUCUAUUUCUCUGAUUUUACGUUGCUUGCUUUUUAGGUAGAAAUUCAUCAGGUUUUGUUUCUGGGAAUUUGAUCUGUUUUGUAUAAAUUAAUCACUUUUUUUAUUUAUAAAAUGACUGUAACAGUCGACAGCCACAAUAAUUGCGAGAAAAAAAAAUUGAUUUAAUGGGCUAUGGAGUAAUAAGCAUAGUUAUUAAACCUGGUUUGGAGGUUUACCUGGUCAAGAGACCGGGUCUCGAGUUUUAUGGGUUCAUUCGGAUCAACCCAAAAAAUCACUUAUUUUUCUUUUUUAAAAAAGUUGUUGACAACAGCUUCAACACCCGAGAAAAUUAAUAUUCUUAUAACUUUGUAAUUUACCUUCUCUUUCUAGUCAAACAUGCUUCCAUAUUUCCCAGUCAAAUGGCUCCAAAAGCUAUAAGGAAUGCCCCACAUUGCAAUUUAAUAUAUUUCCUAGUCAACUAAAAAUUUUGAAGGAAAGACACACAAAACCUAAACUUUUCCCUGCCGCUGCUCCCCUUGCCUUUAGAUUUUCUCUCCCAAAACCAGCUAAAACUUCCCUUUUUGCUGGCCAAAAUCAUACACAACUGACUAUAAAAAAUUGGAAGAUAAAGAGAUUCUCUUCCCUUCUUUCUUCAUUCUCAUUCUAAAAUGAUGAAGACCCCAACCACAACUUCCCUCGCCCCUCUCUCAGUCAUCUCCCUGGUUUUUUGGCCAAAACUAGAGAGUCCCUCCUUCUUCUUCCCCGGCUGUCUCUGUCUCUUGGCCAAACCAGAAUCGCCGCCCACUGACACAGGAGACCAACCUGACCAGCCUCCAACGACAGCGUUCCUCACUCUCAUUUCCUCUCUGCUACUGCUACCAACAACUCAUUGUAGAGAAGAUGAUGAAAUAAGAACGGAGGCCAAAUGACAAAACCAUAUUUGAAAAGGAAAAAAAAAUAAAAAAGGGUCUCGUCCGGGUUCGCUUAGGUCGAAUCGCCGGGUCGACCGGGUUUUACUGGGUUGUUGCACCAAUCGGUCCUUUAACAAACCCGAAUCGGUCUGGGUCUCGAGUUGGCCGGGUCUUGGGCGGACCUGCUAAGCCGGUCCGAGUUUAAUAACUAUUGUAAUUAGACUAUAUAUAUAUAACAAUUUUUUUUUAAAAAAACCUUCAAAUAUUAGUUGUGCUUUUUUUAAGGACAUAUAAGUAAUCACAUCAUGAAAUAAAAUAAAUGAAAAUACAAAAUUACCCUCGAGUGUCUGUUCAACUAUUAAGCUUUUUAAGGGAGUCAUCAAUUAUUUUACUAUGAACUAUAUUGUGUAUAAUUCAUAAUAAAACACUGAUGCAUUUUAAUUUUAUUUAUAAUAUUCCUAGGAGGAUACAAUUACAAUUCAUCCCUUUUUGAAAAUUGUAAAGAUUAGAUCAUUAACCACUAUUAUACUGUGGUUCAAGUUAAAUUUUUUUAACAUAAAAAAAAAAUCAAACAUUGAUAAUAUGGUUUUUUAGUAGAGAAAAAAAUUAAACCAUGUGAAGGUCGGUCCAAUAUGACUCAAUUGACUUUGCAAGUUCAAAAACAACCCGGAUAAUCCGUAAAACCAUAAUUUGACUCAAAAAAAUUUCAAUGUUACAUGUUUUUUUAAUAUUAAAAUAACAACAUAUUGAAUUGGUUUAAGUUAACCUGAUGAACAUGUCAAAUCCACGACUCAUGUUGUGAAACUAUGAUAAUCCUAUAGAAAGCAAAUUAAAACAAAUUAUAAAAUCUAAUUUUCAAUAAAAUUAAUUUUGAAGUAUGAAAUUGAUCAUUUAAAAAGGAUAUAAAAAAGCAGCCCAAGUUAAUUUGUUAGACUUACAACCUUGGUUAUAAAACUGAGAUAACCAUAACCUCGUAAAAAUAAAAUCAAAAUAAAUUAUAAAUUCUAAUUUUCAAUCAACCUAGUAUUGAAGGAUGAGAUAAAAAAAAAUCACCUAAAAAAAUAUAAAAAAUAACUUGAGUCAAUCCACCAAAACCAUGAUCAGAGUCAUGAAACUAAGAUAACUUUAUAGAAAAAAAACAAAAAAAAAACUUGAUUUAACUCAAAUUAACCUAUUAAAUCUGCGACUCUGAUAGUGAGACUGAAAUAACCACAUAGAGAACAAAAUUAAAAUAAAUUAUGAAACUCAAUUCUUAAUUGACCUUUCAGACCCAUUAUUGAACAAUGUAUUUUUUAAAAACUUUAAUUUAAAAAAUAAUACAAAAAAUAAGUUGAGUUAACUCGUUAAGCACUAUUCUCAGAUCAUGAGGCUAGGAUAACCUAAUAAAAAGUAAAUUGAAAUAAAUUAUGAAGCUUAACUCCCAAUUAAACACAAUAAAUGAUAAAAUUGGAGAAAAAUUCAAUUUUUUUUAAAAAUAACUGAGUCAAUUAGGUUAACCCACGAAACACGCGACCUGGGUUGUGAGACAAGGACAACCUAAUAAAAACAAAUUUAUGUUGAAGGACCUAUGACCCAGGUCAUGAGACCAAGAUAACUUAUUAAAAAUAAAAUAAAAAAACAACCUAAUUUUACCAGGAUUAAAAUGCCAAAACUUGUGACCUUCAUUAUAUGACUAGGAUAUAUUUAUAGAAAAUAAAUCAAAGUGGAUUAUAAAACCCAAUCUCAAUCGACGUAACGAUGAAUAAUAAAAUUAGAAAAACAAUUAAAUUAAAAAAAGAACACAAAAAACAACUUUAGUCAACUCAUGUUAACCUAUUAAAUAUUAUUUUUAGGUCAUGAGACCAAAACAACCUAAUAAAAAAAAUAUAAAAAUAAAAAUCAUAAAACUUAAUUCUCAAUCAACCCAAUAUUAAAAGAUGAGAUUGAAAAAAAAAAAUUAAAAAAAUAAAAAAUACAAAUUAACUAGGUUAACAUGUCAAACCCUCAAUCUAUAUAAUAAAAGUGAAAUAACUCAAUGAAAAAAAAUUUAAUUUUAAAAGAUAAAAUUAAAAAAAAUAUUAAUUGAAAAUUAUUUUUAACAAAAAUUACUAUUUCAAUUUCAAUAAAUAGUGCUUUGUCAGGGUUAUUUAAAACUCCUCUUUAUUUAUUUAGUUUUUCAAUUAAACAAUAAAAAUUAUUAAUUAGACACAUGAAAAAAUAAAAUCAAGCUUGCUUCUAUUUGAAAAAAACAUCGCAUGUGAAGCAUGGGUGGUCCACUAGUUUUAGAGGUUGUUUAUUAGUAUAAUAAAAAUUAUUUUUUAAGGUAUUUUUUAUUUAAAAAUAUAUUUAAAUAAUAUUUUUUUAAUUUAAAAAAAAUUAUUUUUGAUAUUAUUAUAUUCAAAUGAUUUAAAAAUAUAAUAAAUAAAUAAUUUUGAAUUAAAUAAAAAAUAAUUUAUUUUAAAAAAUAUUUUUAAAAUACAAAAAUCAGGUUUUUAUAGUAUAGCCAAAUACUGAGAAAAACACAAAGAAAGAAAUGAGAAAAAGAAGGACCGUCGAUGUGAAUAUUUUACAGGAAAAUCGAUCGGUUCAACUAAACGCCACGAAGUUGCAAAACUGGAGCGCAUUGAAUUAGGGUUUCUCCACCCCUAGUCUCCUACAUUAUAAAUAUAAUCCACACUCGUUCGCUUCCGUCAGUGCUCGGCCCUUUCUUUCUCUCCCUCACCAAGCUCCCUUAACCUUCUCUCUGUUUAUCAGCGUGUCUUUCUGCUCGUGUAUCUCUUUUUCUCUGAUUUUACGUCGCUUGCUUUUUACUUAGAAAUUCAUCAGUUUUUGUUUCUGGGAAUUUGAUCUGUUUUUUAAAACUUGAGGGACAAAAUGAAAUCAUGGGAUGAAGAAAAAAACUGCAACAAAAUGAUCGAUUA
rnacentral:lncRNA from 1 species